rnacentral:sRNA from 10 species
GUAAAAUGAUAAUUUUUUCAUGAGCUUAGUCUAAGCUUUUAAAAGAAGCUUUGACUCUUUUCUUCCUUAUUCAUGACUGAUCUUUAUCUCUUCAAGAUGGCAUUUUUCUUCUCCAUCUUCUUCCUCCCACGCCAUUUUUCUUUCUUUACCAUAAAAAUCAAGUUUUUCUUCUCUUUUCUUUUCUUUUCUUACUUCUCCAUUCUCCUACCCCUUUAUUCACCCAACCCACAACUCUCAACCCCAUUUUUCAUCCCAACUAAACCUUAGGAGAGAGAAAAGAAGAAAGAAGAAAGGAAAGAAAGAAAGGAAAAAGGAAGAGAAAAGCUCGGAGGAGGCUCAGCCUUGGAAGAGAAAAGAGAAAACCGAGAGGUUUUCCUCCCCACCCACACACCAUCGUUGAGGUUGAAAAGAUUUUGGUGGUUUGCCUUGUAGAUUUUAAUGUAAGGAAGCAAGGAUCAAUAAAGAUCCAAGGAACUCGAGGCAUGCAUGUGGAAGAAUCUUGGAAUGCGUGGUGAUUUUGAGCUAGAUUUAGUGGUGGGUGGUCAAUUCUGUGUGAAUCAUGCCAAAAAUUUUGCUUUCUCUGGAUAUGAAAGGGCAUGGUUGAUCCUUAACGCGCGAUGUGUUCUUCUACAAACUGAUGCAGUAGCUGCUAUCUAUAAACUCCCACUCUUUGGGUGUUUAAUUUUCCUGGGUAGAAUCUGAAUUUCUGAUAUAGGAAAUGACUUCUCUUAUUAAUCUAAGUACCCUUUCUUUUGGUUGAGAUUGUGCGUGAAUUAGUAUGUUCUUGACUCUCGAGCUGAAUUCUUAUGAAUAAUGCUUAGUUGCCCAUAUUUGCUAGUUAUUGGUGCUUGUCUCCUGUCAUUUUAUGCUAUACAACAUUAGGAAGAUUCAAGGAAAUGAAGUAUUACGGAAACAGAGAAGUGCCCCCAAAUUGAUCAAGUCGUCUGCAGCUGAAUCCAUCGUAUCAACGAUUCUUACAAUCAUGGUGAAUUCUCUGAAAAAAAUUUUGCUGCAUAAUGGAACUUUUCUACCUCUUGGGUGUAAGCUGCAGUUGUUGUAGUGCAUCAACACACUCAAUUUAUCAGGUCCAAUUAUUGCAGCCAAAUAGUUUUUGUGUUAGUUGGAUUUGCAACAGGGUUUUUGUUUGUACAGGCUUAAUUAUUAAUCACCCAAGGAGAGGAUGCCAUUGAUUAGUCUGCAUCAAGAGAAAGCAGCCAGACAAAAUUUACUCGUGGAGAAGGCUACGGUUUCUCUUUCUUCUUUUGAACAAAGCAUUGUUUAUCAAGUGACUUAUGUUGGGAUCCAUUAUUUUGCUUCCUGAGAAAGAAUGUGUUGCUGUUCACAUAGAUCAAGGUUGUAUGAUAUGACUUACAGCAAAUGUUGUCCCAUAGUUAUAGCUUAUACAUGAAGUUUGUUGUUUCUAUCUGUCUGAUUUGACUUAAUUUGUUGUUUCUCUCAACUCAAUGAUAAUCUCAUGACUUAUAUUGGGAAA